rnacentral:lncRNA from 1 species
GAUUUUGUCACUAAGUUGAAUGGGUCCUUGAGAGCUCUUUUGGUACAAUGUUAUGCGAAUAGUCGUGGUAGGUACUUGGUGAUAGUAUAGUAUGGGUAAAGGCGUCGAAAGGGAGUUGUGAUGAUGUCGGAAGAUGUGAAUGAAGAGGAAUGGACAUUAGUUUCACGAGUGUUUUAGGCAGUUGUAGACUCAUUUGUCGCUGGAGACAAAGCCAAAUGUCAAAUGGUGGAUGAAAGAAAUCUACAAGAGAUGACUUAUGCCGGAGUGAUGGCAAACUUAUAGGCUUU